rnacentral:rRNA from 1 species
GAUGAACGCUGGCGGCGUGCUUAACACAUGCAAGUCGACCGAUGAUCUCCAGCUUGCUGGGGGGAUUAGUGGCGAACGGGUGAGUAACACGUGAGUAACCUGCCCUUGACUCUGGGAUAAGCCUGGGAAACUGGGUCUAAUACCGGAUACGACCGCUCCACGCAUGUGGUGGUGGUGGAAAGCUUUUGCGGUUUUGGAUGGACUCGCGGCCUAUCAGCUUGUUGGUGGGGUAAUGGCCUACCAAGGCGACGACGGGUAGCCGGCCUGAGAGGGUGACCGGCCACACUGGGACUGAGACACGGCCCAGACUCCUACGGGAGGCAGCAGUGGGGAAUAUUGCACAAUGGGCGGAAGCCUGAUGCAGCGACGCCGCGUGAGGGAUGACGGCCUUCGGGUUGUAAACCUCUUUCAGUAGGGAAGAAGCGUAAGUGACGGUACCUGCAGAAGAAGCGCCGGCUAACUACGUGC